AUACAUUUUAUUCGAGUUGUAGGGGAGGUGACGAGUCAACCGGCGAAAACUACGACUGGUGUGGGUAGAGCAUUAGAACUGUUGCCGGAUAAUAAAAUCAUUAACUGCAUGCGGGUUAUUCAUGUUGAGUAGUUUGAUCAAGUAUAAUGGCAUUUGCAAACUAGCUGUGAUCUGAUACUGGUGAUAACAUUGGUCUCAUUUAUGAAUGUAUUUGAAGUCACAAUUUCUUACGUUAAGAAUUUAUCAAAGGGAAGUAUACACCGAAGGAUUUUCAUCCAAUGAACUGGGAGUUUCUGAGGUACAAGCCUGUUCAAAAGGCCGUCUGCGUGCCAAAUGCUGCUUUACGAGCUCUAAUCGAGCGCAAGUGAAGAUGGAAUCUCAUUUUAUUUUUGAACAUUAAAAAGCUGAACUUUUGAACAUAACAUCGGUGGAGUUCUGAAUAAUUUAAAAGGUUUUCAUGCUGCUUUAGAAGAAAUGAUUUUAAAGUUUCCAUAUUGUAAACGUUUGGAGUCCGAAGAAUAAAAAAGCAGUUUCUCCGUUCUUCAGUCUUUCAGGUUUAAAUGCUGGAAAGCCAAGUGUCUCAGACAAACGAAAUAUCACGAAUGAAUUUAUGUCAAGAUUUACAGAUUUGAUGUAACAGAUAUCAGUGCUGAACUCUUUCGUAAUCCAUUCUCAAAUCUGGCAUUAAAGAACAUUUACCGUACAGACGGAAUUGUGUGACCUUCAGAAUGAUUCUUUCCUCCAGACAAGGACAGAAAUCAUACCACAUGUCUUUCUAAUAAAUAUUACCUUUAUUUGUG